rnacentral:rRNA from 1 species
GACGAACGCUGGCGGCGUGCUUAACACAUGCAAGUCGUACGGUAAGGCCCUUUCGGGGGUACACGAGUGGCGAACGGGUGAGUAACACGUGAGUAACCUGCCCACAACUUUGGGAUAACGCUAGGAAACUGGUGCUAAUACUGGAUAUGUGCUCCUGCUGCAUGGUGGGGGUUGGAAAGCUCCGGCGGUUGUGGAUGGACUCGCGGCCUAUCAGCUUGUUGGUGGGGUAGUGGCCUACCAAGGCGGCGACGGGUAGCCGGCCUGAGAGGGUGACCGGCCGCACUGGGACUGAGAGACGGCACAGGCUCCUACUGGAGGCAGAAGUGGGGAAUAUUGCACAAUGGGCGCAAGCCUGAUGCAGCAACGCCGCGUGCGGGAUGACGGCCUUCGGGUUGUAAACCGCUUUCAGAAGGGACGAAGCUUUUUGUGACGGUACCUGCAGAAGAAGCACCGGCUAACUACGUG